rnacentral:rRNA from 1 species
GACGUAGGGCGCGAGCGUUGUCCGGAUUUAUUGGGCGUAAAGCGUCCGCAGGUGGCUGUGUAAGUCUGCUGUUAAAGAGUCUAGCUCAACUAGAUAAAGGCAGUGGAAACUACACGGCUAGAGUGCGUUCGGGGCAGAGGGAAUUCCUGGUGUAGCGGUGAAAUGCGUAGAGAUCAGGAAGAACACCGGUGGCGAAGGCGCUCUGCUAGGCCGCAACUGACACUGAGGGACGAAAGCUAGGGGAGCGAACGGG